rnacentral:rRNA from 1 species
ACGGGUGAGUAACACGUGGGCAACCUGCCUGUAAGACUGGGAUAACUUCGGGAAACCGGAGCUAAUACCGGAUAACCCUUUCCCUCACAUGAGGGAAAGCUGAAAGACGGUUUCGGCUGUCACUUACAGAUGGGCCCGCGGCGCAUUAGCUAGUUGGUGAGGUAAUGGCUCACCAAGGCGACGAUGCGUAGCCGACCUGAGAGGGUGAUCGGCCACACUGGGACUGAGACACGGCCCAGACUCCUACGGGAGGCAGCAGUAGGGAAUCUUCCGCAAUGGACGAAAGUCUGACGGAGCAACGCCGCGUGAACGAUGAAGGCUUUCGGGUCGUAAAGUUCUGUUGUCAGGGAAGAACAAGUACCGGAGUAACUGCCGGUACCUUGACGGUACCUGACCAGAAAGCCACGGCUAACUACGUGCCAGCAGCCGCGGUAAUACGUAGGUGGCAAGCGUUGUCCGGAAUUAUUGGGCGUAAAGCGCGCGCAGGCGGUUCCUUAAGUCUGAUGUGAAAGCCCCCGGCUCAACCGGGGAGGGUCAUUGGAAACUGGGGAACUUGAGUGCAGAAGAGGAGAGCGGAAUUCCACGUGUAGCGGUGAAAUGCGUAGAGAUGUGGAGGAACACCAGUGGCGAAGGCGGCUCUCUGGUCUGUAACUGACGCUGAGGCGCGAAAGCGUGGGGAGCGAACAGGAUUAGAUACCCUGGUAGUCCACGCCGUAAACGAUGAGUGCUAAGUGGUUAAAGGGUUUCCGCCCUUUAGUGCUGCAGCAAACGCAUUAAGCACUCCGCCUGGGGGAGUACGGCCGCAAGGCUGAAACUCAAAGGAAUUGACGGGGGCCCGCACAAGCGGUGG